AUACGGAGGGUGCGAGCGUUAUUCGGAAUCACUGGGCGUAAAGGACGCGUAGGCGGGUUGGCAAGUCAGAUGUGAAAUCCUACAGCUUAACUGUAGAACUGCAUUUGAAACUGCUAACCUAGAGUAUGGGAGGGGGAGAUGGAAUUAGUGGUGUAGGGGUAAAAUCCGUAGAUAUCACUAGGAAUACCGAAAGCGAAGGCGAUCUCCUGGAACAUAACUGACGCUAAGGCGUGAAAGCGUGGGGAGCAAACAGGAUUAGAAACCCGAGUAGUCC
rnacentral:rRNA from 1 species